AUGAGCCCAGCGAGCAGCAG
rnacentral:misc_RNA from 1 species